rnacentral:rRNA from 1 species
GGGUGGUAAUGCCGGAUGUCCCAACCAGCUGCAUGGCUGGUUGGGAAGGAUUUUAUCGGCAUGGGAUGGGGUCGCGUCCUAUCAGCUUGUUGGUGGGGCAAUGGCCCACCAAGGCUUCGACGGGUAGCCGGCCUGAGAGGGCGACCGGCCACAUUGGGACUGAGAUACGGCCCAGACUCCUACGGGAGGCAGCAGUGGGGAAUAUUGCACAAUGGGCGCAAGCCUGAUGCAGCGACGCCGCGUGAGGGAUGACGGCCUUCGGGUUGUAAACCUCUUUUGUUAGGGAGCAAGCGAGAGUGAGUGUACCUUUCGAAUAAGCACCGGCUAACUACGUGCCAGCAGCCGCGGUAAUACGUAGGGUGCAAGCGUUAUCCGGAAUUAUUGGGCGUAAAGAGCUCGUAGGCGGCUUGUCGCGUCCGGUGUGAAAGUCCAUCGCUUAACGGUGGAUCUGCGCCGGGUACGGGCAGGCUAGAAUGCGGUAGGGGAGACUGGAAUUCCCGGUGUAACGGUGGAAUGUGUAGAUAUCGGGAAGAACACCAAUGGCGAAGGCAGGUCUCUGGGCCGUUAUUGACGCUGAGGAGCGAAAGCGUGGGGAGCGAACAGGAUUAGAUACCCUGGUAGUCCACGCCGUAAACGGUGGAUGCUGGAUG